UACAGAGGUCCCAAGCUUUGUUCGGAUUCAUUGGGCGUAAAGGGUGCGUAGGUGGCGCCGUAAGUGGGGUGUGAAAUUUCGGAGCUUAACUCCGAAACUGCAUUCCAUACUGCGGUGCUUGAGGACUGGAGAGGAGACUGGAAUUCAUGGUGUAGCAGUGAAAUGCGUAGAGAUCAUGAGGAAGACCAGUGGCGAAGGCGGGUCUCUGGACAGUUCCUGACACUGAGGCACGAAGGCCAGGGGAGCAAACGGG
rnacentral:rRNA from 1 species